rnacentral:lncRNA from 1 species
GAAAUUCCACCCAGGGAAGCAAUAUGUGUAAAGUGGAAUCCAAGCGGACAUGCAUGACAACACUAAUCCCAGAAUAAUGCAGACGGGAGAGGAAAAACAUGAGGAUUUUUUGUAAAGAGACUGGGACAGUGUUCCUGGCUGUUCCUCUUGCUGAAGAUAAAUGACAGAUAUGAUCUCAGGACGUCCUCUGGAUCACCCUCUCGCAAAGACAUCCAACAUCAGGACAGAGUUUGACUUUGCAGUCCACCUCUGUCUUCCACUCAUGACUGGAGAAAAUAAGGCAGGAGGCCUUAUCUGCAGGUGAGAUCAUGCAUCGCUGCUUUAUCCUUCCAUGCAUCAAGCCCAACAUUAUCGGUGGGAUUGGACAUGCCACCGCAUCGCUGGAAAGUACAGCGAAUCAUGCAAAAGCAGCGCACAGAAUCUGGGCGAGUGUGACUCACACUCAGCGCUGCUGGAGUGUCUGCUGUCAGCAGUUCUGUCUUAGUGGGUGACAGGAGAGAAAUAAUGACAGGCAAGACGACAUGCACUCGUACAGACACCUGUAAACAAACACCCACACACAUACUGUAGCCAUGCAUGCUUAAGUGUAAUGUGCAUAGGUCGCACAUGUGAUUAAACUGCAAAUGUGCCAAAUAGUGUUUCCAUCAUGCAUUUGGAAGAUGCUGGUAUCAAAAGCAAGUUGCAUUGCAUUCUGGGUAUAGAUUUUAUAGAUUCAUGCAUUCCCUGGAAAUCAACUCGCGUCCUUCAAGUGCC